rnacentral:rRNA from 1 species
GAUGAACGCUAGCGGCAGGCUUAACACAUGCAAGUCGAGGGGCAGCGCGAUGUAGCAAUACAUUGGCGGCGACCGGCGCACGGGUGCGUAACACGUAUGGAACUUACCCUUUACUGGGAGAUAGCCCGGAGAAAUCCAGAUUAAUAUCCCAUAAUAAACGAAGUGGCAUCACUUUGUUUUGAAAGCUCCGGCGGUAAAGGAUGGCCAUGCGCACGAUUAGCUAGUAGGUGAGGUAACGGCUCACCUAGGCUACGAUCGUUAGGGGGCCUGAGAGGGUUAUCCCCCACACUGGUACUGAGACACGGACCAGACUCCUACGGGAGGCAGCAGUGAGGAAUAUUGCGCAAUGGAGGCAACUCUGACGCAGCCAUGCCGCGUGCAGGAAGAAGGCGCUACGCGUUGUAAACUGCUUUUAACCGGGAAGAAACCCUCCGACGUGUCGGAGGUUGACGGUACCGGAGGAAUAAGCAUCGGCUAACUUCGUGCCAGCAGCCGCGGUAAAGUA